GAUGAAGAACGUAGCGAAAUGCGAUAAGUAAUGUGAAUUGCAGAAUUCAGUGAAUCAUCGAAUCUUUGAACGCACAUUGCGCCCGCCAGUAUUCUGGCGGGCAUGCCUGUUCGAGCGUCAUUUCAACCAUCAAGCCCCCGGCUUGUGUUGGGGACCUGCGGCUGCCGCAGGCCCUGAAAACCAGUGGCGGGCUCGCUAGUCACUCCGAGCGUAGUAAUACAUCUCGCUCAGGGCGUGCUGCGGGUUCCGGCCGUUAAAAAGCCUUAUUUACCCAAGGUUGACCUCGGAUCAGGUAAGAAGACCCGCUGAACUUAAGCAUAUCAAUAAGCGGAGGA
rnacentral:misc_RNA from 1 species